UACGUAGGCAGCGAGCGUUGUUCGGAGUUACUGGGCGUAAAGGGUGUGUAGGCGGUUCUUUUAAGUUUGGUGUGAAAUCUCCCGGCUCAACCGGGAGGGUGCGCCGAAUACUGAGGGACUAGAGUGCGGGAGAGGAAAGUGGAAUUCCUGGUGUAGCGGUGAAAUGCGUAGAUAUCAGGAGGAACACCGGUGGUGUAGACGGCUUUCUGGGACCGUAACUGACGCUGAGACACGAAAGCGUGGGUAGCAAACAGG
rnacentral:rRNA from 1 species